UAGGGAAUCUUCGGCAAUGGGGGGAACCCUGACCGAGCAACGCCGCGUGAGUGAAGAAGGUUUUCGGAUCGUAAAGCUCUGUUGUUAAGGAAGAACGAGUGUGAGAAUGGAAAGUUCAUGCUGUGACGGUACUUAACCAGAAAGCCACGGCUAACUACGUGCCAGCAGCCGCGGUAAUACGUAGGUGGCAAGCGUUGUCCGGAUUUAUUGGGCGUAAAGCGAGCGCAGGCGGUCAAUUAAGUCUGAUGUGAAAGCCCCCGGCUCAACCGGGGAAGGUCAUUGGAAACUGGUUGACUUGAGUGCAGAAGAGGAGAGUGGAAUUCCAUGUGUAGCGGUGAAAUGCGUAGAUAUAUGGAGGAACACCAGUGGCGAAGGCGACUCUCUGGUCUGUAACUGACGCUGAGGCUCGAAAGCGUGGGUAGCAAACAGG
rnacentral:rRNA from 1 species